CCUGCAGGAGAGAAGGGGGCUCAGCAACCAGGGGCCGCCGUGGCCAUGGGCCUGCCGCCCUGCCGCCCUCCCUCCCGGAGGCCCCCAGGGCUGGGUGCUGUGCUUCGCCUCGAGGGGCCUCAGUGCCUGCGAGGGCUGCUCACACACAGGGGAAGGGCCAAGCAACAAGCACAUACGCACGACUUGUGUCUCCUGCGUGGAGUCUCCCAGGGGUAGUAUCUGCAGUCUUCCAGAGCCCCCAGCCUGUGGACCAUUGUAUCCAAAGUGCUGGGCCAGCCUGCCAGCUUAGGCCACACCCCUCCUUCAGAUGGGGUGCCUGCUGCCAGGCAACCACAGCCUAAAGAAAAAAUGCAGCCAAGGGACCGUAGCUGUUCUGGACCACGCAGGCCGCCAGGAAGGAGUGGGGAAGUUUUCUUUUAAGAGACCCUUAAAUGGUGUUGCAAAGUGAUGUUCAACAUAGGCUCUUGGCAAAAGAGAACAGGAUUUAAAAGCACAGACCGGAAGUGUGGACGGCACCCAAACCAACACGUGUCAUCACAUACCUCGGGAUGUCCCUCACUUUGGCAGUGAAGUGGCACUCAGCGUACAGGAUGGCUCGAAAACAGCCUUAGCUGACCGUGCACAAGUCAGAGCUCCACGAUUAUGGGCCUAGUAUGCAGCUAAGUAUAAUGACCUCACAAGCCACGAUGUGCCCUUACCUGCCGCUGCCAAUGGACGGGAACGCGAUGGACUUGAGCUUCUUAUCGUCUGCCAGGGCCAGACAGUUCUUCACCGUCUUUUCCAGAAGUUCCUCACACUUGUCUGCACCCCAGACCGGACUGUUACAGUGGAUCACAAACUUGGCAGGCAGGCCGUGACCUGCGCUGACAGCAGCUGGAGGAGACAAGACAGGAACAGUGAGUUCUGUCCCUCACACACCCAACACAGUGCCCUCCAGCUGCAGCGCGCCCCCAGGCUCCCCUGUGGCCUGCAUCCAGGGAGCGCUGCAGCUGCCUGCCAUCUUGUGCUUCUGAUGUCCCCCUAGAAACUGCUCACCAGCGAGUCUUCUCGGGAAACACCAGGCCAAGAGCCACCCUUGGAAAGCUGGCAUUGAGAUGCACCACCACGAAGAAUUUUAGCCAAGAUUACAGCCAGCCCUCUCUGUACAUCCUCCCAGAGGCGGACCCUGAACCACCUAACUUGACUGACUGUGUCAGAAUGUUUGCAGCCUCAAAUUCGCCUCUGGGGAUCUCUAAGCCCCCUUCCUCCUGUGAACUCCUGUACACGUAAUUAUGAUGUGUCUAUAAAUCUCCCCAGCAGAGUUCAGGAUAAACCUAUUAGGAAAGCAACUCCAUUUAAUGAGCCACUAAGCAACAUGACUGGCAGCUCUGGUGCCCGCCUCUCCUCCUGAACUGAUCUUCGUUUUUGACAGAAUUAAAUUGUUCUUUCACGCUGGAA